rnacentral:rRNA from 1 species
UACGUAGGGCGCAAGCGUUGUCCGGAAUCAUUGGGCGUAAAGAGCGCGUAGGCGGCCCGGUAAGUCCGCUGUGAAAGUCAAGGGCUCAACCCUUGAAUGCCGGUGGAUACUGUCGGGCUAGAGUCCGGAAGAGGCGAGUGGAAUUCCUGGUGUAGCGGUGAAAUGCGCAGAUAUCAGGAGGAACACCAAUGGCGAAGGCAGCUCGCUGGGACGGUACUGACGCUGAGGCGCGAAAGCGUGGGGAGCAAACAGG